CCUUCGAUAGCUCAGUUGGAAGAGCGUGAGACUGUAAUGGUUACCACUUUCAUCUCAAGGUCACUGGUUCGAUCCCGGUUCGAAGGA